AGAGUUUGAUCCUGGCUCAGGACGAACGCUGGCGGCGUGCUUAACACAUGCAAGUCGAACGAUAAAGCCAGCUUGCUGGUGGAUUAGUGGCGAACGGGUGAGUAACACGUGGGUGAUCUGCCCUGUACUUUUGGGAUAAGCCUGGGAAACUGGGUCUAAUACCGAAUAUUACCUUCUCCUGCAUGGGGGUUGGUGGAAAGCUCCGGCGGUAUGGGAUGGGCCCGCGGCCUAUCAGCUUGUUGGUGGGGUAAUGGCCUACCAAGGCGACGACGGGUAGCCGGCCUGAGAGGGCGACCGGCCACACUGGGACUGAGACACGGCCCAGACUCCUACGGGAGGCAGCAGUGGGGAAUAUUGCACAAUGGGCGCAAGCCUGAUGCAGCGACGCCGCGUGAGGGAUGACGGCCUUCGGGUUGUAAACCUCUUUCACCAGGGACGAAGCGUGAGUGACGGUACCUGGAGAAGAAGCACCGGCCAACUACGUGCCAGCAGCCGCGGUAAUACGUAGGGUGCGAGCGUUGUCCGGAAUUACUGGGCGUAAAGAGCUCGUAGGCGGUUUGUCGCGUCGUUCGUGAAAACUUGGGGCUUAACUCCAAGCGUGCGGGCGAUACGGGCAGACUUGAGUACUACAGGGGAGACUGGAAUUCCUGGUGUAGCGGUGAAAUGCGCAGAUAUCAGGAGGAACACCGGUGGCGAAGGCGGGUCUCUGGGUAGUAACUGACGCUGAGGAGCGAAAGCGUGGGUAGCGAACAGGAUUAGAUACCCUAGUAGUCC
rnacentral:rRNA from 1 species